UUUACUGAUUGUUGUAAUUAUCUGCUAGCUACUGAAAGGUUUUUCUCUACCUCUGUACCCAUUCAGAUAAAUAUUUCUUCACUGAAGGGGUUAUCAAGCAUUGGAACAGGCUGCCCAGGGAAGUGAUUGAGUCACCAUCUCUGGAGGUCUUUAAAAGAGGUGUAGGUGUGGUGCUUAGGGACAUGGUUUAGGGGUGGACUUGGCAGUGUUUAACCGUUGGACUCAAUCUUGAAGGUCUUUUACAACCUGAAUAAUUCUAUGAUUCUAUAUCAACACUCAGGCUUUCGCCAUUCUUCUGGACUUCUUUAGUAGGAAAAACAUGAUGAAGUGUCACUUCUUCUAAGUGCAAUAUCCCUCAUCCUUAUGAAGAACAGUUCCUCGUUUAUCAUGAACUCAGCUCAUCAGGUUACUGCAUGGGGGGUCCUUUGGCAAACAUUUAAAAGGAACCUGCUUAGAUCUUCACAGCUUUGAAGCUGUGCCUCAAAGAUUCUCCUCACUUGUGGUGCUCUCCUACGCCAACACUGGUAGCUGCUGGGACUGGUUUGUUGUUUUUUCAGGGGAGAGCACAUUUUUCAUAAUUUGGCAUGGAAAAUCCACCCCUCUCUGUAAAUCAGCUCCCCACCCCUGCUCUCUGUAUGAUACCUAGAAAGGGGGUCAUUUACAAAAAACUGAUAUUUGUUGUUUUGCAGGUCUUGGUUGCAACAAAACAAGUUUGUGCAGGUAAGGAAAUAAUAAAUACAUAAAUAAAAUCAUUCACAUUGCGA